rnacentral:lncRNA from 1 species
UUCUUCCGUGAUCCCCAAUAAAUACCGCAAUAAACUGAAAGGCAAGGGAUACAACAAUAUAGUUAGUGCACAUGGUUAUAAUACAAAGAAUAAAAACCAAUUAGAAUUGCAUUUCCUUAAAGUUUUUUGCUAAACUACUGACUUCUAAUUUCAGGCUCAGAGAUUUUGAUUCCACACAUUGAGGUUGUGUUUUGUAUUUUUUGGAUAGGGGUUUGGUGGGGUGGGGUGGGGUGGGGGAAUAAAGAGAAAAGUGUUUAAAUAUUCCUUGUUUCGAGCACACCAAGCAGAUAAAAAGCUCAAAUCAAAGAAGAAGUGCAUUAAAAAGGCAGCCAGAGAAGCUAGCAGUCAACCCUACAAAACACACACACACACAAUGGAGGAAGCUAUUGUCAGAAGUUCUAAGUGCUCUGACAGGGCCAAGGUUAUGGUUGCAUCUCUCAUCUCACUAAAAAAAUUCCAAAGAGUGAAUUAUUAACAGUAUGUGUCACCCAGACAUGUGUUCUCUAGAGAAAACUUUGAAGACUAAACGAUGAAACAAAGGUUUUUGAGUGUCCAGAAAAUUGACGAGUCAAAAAUGGUUCUAAAACAUGCUCUCCACAUACCUACUAUAACCUUUGGCAUCUGCCAGCUGGUAUGAAUCCACGUCUCCAAUUGUUCCAAUAAUUGCUUUAGCAAGAGUAUCAUCGUCCAUUUCUAAUUCACGUAGAAAAGCACCAGACCCAUCAUAUACAUCAAGUGUCUUCAAAAGGUUGGGAUCACGAUACGAUAAGAAGGAGAACACUCCUACAAAAAAUCAUAAAUUGAAUUCCAAUGGUUAGAUUUAUAUUUUGUAGCUGUUAGAACUCCUUUCCAGUUCCAAACACUGUAAUUGGAAUUCCAUGCCGGGCACUACAUCUCAUUAUUG